rfam:Macaca mulatta chromosome 2, whole genome shotgun sequence.
ACCAUGUUGUGGUUCGCAAGCGUGAUAAUUCAGUUUUUACGCUCACGUAUGAGACACACCUCCUUCAAAUCUUGUUAUGUCAUCACAUUAACCAUCUGAUG